GACGAACGCUGGCGGCGUGCUUAACACAUGCAAGUCGAACGGAAAGGCCCUGCUCUUGCGGGUUUCUCGAGUGGCGAACGCGUGUGUAUCACGCGAGUAACCUCCCCCUGUCUUUCGGAUAACUUCACGAAACUGCGGCUCAUACCCGGUAUGAGCUCCUGCUCCAUGGUGGUCUUUAGAAAGUUUCGGCGGUUGGGGAUAGUCUCGCUGCUUAUCAGCCUGUUGGUCGGGUAGUGGCUUACCAAGCCUUUGACGGCUAGCCGGCCUGAGAGGGGUACCGGGCACAAUGGGACUGAGAGACGGACCAGAAGGCUAUGGGAGGCAGCAGGGGGGAAUAUGACAGAAUGGGGGGGAGCCAGAUGCAGAAGCGCCGGGUGCGGGAUGACGGGCUACUGGUUGUGAACCGAUUUCGACGGUGACGAAGCGGGAGUGACGGUAAUGGGUAAAGAAGCACCGGCUAACUACGUG
rnacentral:rRNA from 1 species